rnacentral:snoRNA from 1 species
CAUCCUGAUGAAACGGCACUGGGCUCCGAAAUAUUUUUCAUGAGCAGAUAUGCCAUCUUUGCGACAGGCCUAGAAAACCUCGUCUACUGAUU